GAUUAACUCUAGCGGCAGGCCGAACACAUCCACGUCGAACGGUAACAGGUCCCGCAAUACUUGAUGACGAGUGGCGCACGGGUGAGUAACUCGUAUGCAAUCUACCUUUAACUGGCGAAUAGCCCGAAGAAAUUCGGAUUAAUACACCAUAGUAUAGUGGAAUAGCAUCAUUUAACUAUUAACACUACGGCGGUAAAAGAUGAGCAUGCGUUAUAUUAGCUAGGUGGUGAGGUAAGGGCUCACCAAGUCUACGAUGUCUAGGGGAGCUGAGAGGAUUAACCCCCACACUGGUCAUGAGACACGGACCAGACUCCUACGGGAGGCAGCAGUAAGGAAUAUUGGACAAUGGUCGCAAGACUGAUCCAGCCAUGCCGCGUGAAGGAUGACGGCCCUAUGGGUUGUAAACUUCUUUUGUAUGGGAAGAAACCUCUUUACGUGUAAAGAGCUGAUUGUACCAUAAGAAUAAGGAUCGGCUAACUCCGUGCCAGCAGCCGCGGUAAAAC
rnacentral:rRNA from 1 species